rnacentral:lncRNA from 1 species
CCUGCUCCACUCCAUCUAUGAGCAGGGUUCCCUGUUUUUAUCCGGCUUCCACAGCUAGUCCUUGCGUCUGGCGGGAUUAGCUCAGCUUUUGUCCAUGUGUGUGUGUCCAGUGCGUCUUGCACCUGGGCUCUUUUGUAAAUAGUUGUUUUGAGGUAAGUUGGCCUUUGCGUCUUGCAGGGAGCGACUGGUACCGGGACUUUUUUAAAUGGUAAGGAUUUAUUUGAUGUUUCUUUAUGACGGGCCACAGCCGGAGUGAUUGUCCUGUCACUGUUUUAAAACAUGCAUGAUAGAUUAGGUUUAGUUAGGUUAGAGUUAAGAAUUAGAGUUAACCUUUUUAAUCCCAGCAAGUGAGGACAGGAGGCGACAUCAGCAGAGGACAGAGACCAAAGAAGACUUCUUUAUCAACCAAAACAAUGUAAGCAAAAAUACUGACCACACAUGUAAUGUAAAAAUAAACUUUACAUUAUAAUAAUGUCUGUAAAAUGUAUGACAGGUGCACCAGCAUCCACAGCAGUAGUCCCAUAAGUAGUCUGAGGAGGAAACAUCAGCAGAAAGCGAAACAAUCAAUGUAAGUAAAGCCUCUCAUUGACACAGAACGACACUGAACUAAUGUUUGAUGUAAAAAUAGACGUGACUUAAUACUAAUGCCUGUAAAAUGUUGGACUGGAACAACGGCAUCCACUGAUGGAGGAGGAGGAUGAAGAUGGAGGACAGGAGCACCAGCAUCCACAGCAGCUUGAUGAGGAAACAUCAGCAGAGGACAGAAAGACUUCUAUUAACCAAAAACAAUACAGGAGUGCUAGCAUCCACUGAUGGAGGAGGAGGAGAAGAAAGAUGGAGGACAGGAGCACCAGCAUCCACAGCAGCCUGAGGAGGAAUCAUCAGCAGAGGACAGAAAGACUUCUAUUAAGCAAAAACAAUCAAUAGUUUUGCUUCAGAGGAGAAUCAGACAGAUCCAGAUGUUCAUCACCACAGCAGAGAAUGAGACACCAGAGCUGCAGUGUUAACACAGACUGCUUUAGUUUAAACUUUAGAUAAAAAAACUAUUAAACUUGGUGAAAUGUUUUGUGUGCUUGAUCAACUCACUUUCCAUAUGAAUCUGAGCUCAUCUUCAUCACUGAGAGAUUUACCAAGUAUUUUGUAUCUUAACUUGAGCCAAU